rnacentral:rRNA from 1 species
UGGGGAAUUUUAGGACAAUGGGCGAAAGCCUGAUCCAGCAAUGCCGCGUGUGUGAAGAAGGCCUUCGGGUUGUAAAGCACUUUUGUCCGGAAAGAAAUCCUUGGCUCUAAUACAGUCGGGGGAUGACGGUACCGGAAGAAUAAGCACCGGCUAACUACGUGCCAGCAGCCGCGGUAAUACGUAGGGUGCAAGCGUUAAUCGGAAUUACUGGGCGUAAAGCGUGCGCAGGCGGUUUGCUAAGACCGAUGUGAAAUCCCCGGGCUCAACCUGGGAACUGCAUUGGUGACUGGCAGGCUAGAGUAUGGCAGAGGGGGGUAGAAUUCCACGUGUAGCAGUGAAAUGCGUAGAGAUGUGGAGGAAUACCGAUGGCGAAGGCAGCCCCCUGGGCCAAUACUGACGCUCAUGCACGAAAGCGUGGGGAGCAAACAGGAUUAGAUACCCUGGUAGUCCACGCCCUAAAACGAUGUCAACUAGUUGUUGGGGAUUCAUUUCCUUAGUAACGUAGCUAACGCGUGAAGUUGACCGCCUGGGGAGUACGGUCGCAAGAUUAAAAACUUCAAAUGAAUUGACGGGGUCAUAGCUGUUUCCU